CUCGGGCUGGGGGACACCCUCCCCGCCCUGAUCGUGGCCUCGGCCCUGACGGGACUGGCGGGGGCGCUGUUCAAUCCGGCGGUCCGCGCC
rnacentral:tRNA from 1 species